GUUUAUUGAAAAUGGUUUUUUUCCAGCUAGUCUAUUCUGCAGGACUGCAGUGUGAUAGCUAGUUCUCACAUGGGCUUGAGAGCUGGAUCUGGAACCUAUGUCACUUCAGAGAAUGAAGUAGAAGUAACCACAUGGAGCAAAUAUUCGUUUUGUACAGAUGUGAACACCACUGCAUUUACCAUGAAAAAUCAGCCACCUGGGAUCUCAAAAGGACAACUACCAGUUUUAAGGGCAGAUGAAGAAGCAAAUGCUUCAUUCUGA
rnacentral:lncRNA from 1 species